rnacentral:misc_RNA from 1 species
GCAAGAUUUAUUUAUUACAUUUUCAAACCCAUGGAAAUUCCAGAGAUUCAUCAAUCCAUUUCCAUAAAAGGUUUGAUUCCAAAAAGUGAUUCAACCCUACAAAUGUUGAUAAUAAAAACAGAAGCACCACCGCCUUCACGCUUCAGGAGUGUCCGACCUAAGAGUGGGCUUUUGGGGCUUGCCGUCCACCCACUUGGAAACGGAAAAGUGAACCUUCUCGCGGCUGAGAACCUCGGUCUUGUAAGGCUCCUUGAGACAGUUCCUGACCAGAUUGGCGCAAAUGUUUGAGUAUGUGAUGUAAGUCAUUCCCGCCGCUCUCCAAAAGGGCACCGCUGCAUUCGAAGCCAUUUCUCUGCAACUUUCUCCAAAGAAACUGAAACUCCUCGAUUCCCU